rnacentral:lncRNA from 1 species
AUACUCAUGUUUAUUUGGAAGAUAAGAAAAUGAGAUCCUUACUCUCAGAGAGUCAAAUCAGUUUGUAAGGCUAGGAGAUCCGGGUACCCGUCAUUUCUUGUCUUAUGGGUUUUUGAAAGGAAUGGAAAGGCAGCAAUGUGUCCGACUCUUAGAGAUGAAUUGUGAUUGGUCCUAAACCAAUCCCAGCCAGGUAAGUUGCUCUCGUUUGUCAGAUCCCCAGAUUGCUGUCCCUUUGUGAGUGCUGGAGACUGCAUGACUAGGUUUUGAACAGUGUUGAUGGUUUAUGAAAAAUAAGUUUUUGGUCCCCUGAUAAAAGGCAGGGAAAAAGGGGAUAAUUCCUAUGGCAAUCAUCUUGUGACCAUGAAACAGCAAACAACAAUAACAAACUAAGAAAUGGAGGGCGACAGAGUGGAAGGAGUGAGUCUGAUCGAAUGAACACCAGCGGCAGCAAGGACGUCCCACCAGGAAGCGUGCACAUUCAGGAGUUCCGGUUAGUUCUUGAUCUCUGGCCAAUCACAGGCCAGCUACUGUGAUGAGCCGGUGAGGAGGGGGCAGGAGGCACAGGCGCACCAGUCUGGGAUGCAGAACCCACAAGAGGCUCACAUGCUACAUCGGAAGUAAGCCUCGAGGGCAGACGUCUGAUCUCCUCCCCUGGGCUCUUGAGGACAUGACGGACAUUCUGAAAGAAGAUUAUGACAAUAUCAUAAGGCAUGGCAUAGCAGCACGGAUCCUACAAAAAUCCUCAGUUAUUCAGCAGGCAGUGAGGAUGGCUCUCCUUUCAGAAGUCUUUACCACUCAUGGCUAUGGCAUCGUUUCCUGAUAAUCAAGAAGACAAUCUGGUUGCAGUUGCUUGAAUGGAGCCAUUGAGCCGUAAGAGCAGGU